AGGACGAACGCUGGCGGCGUGCUUAACACAUGCAAGUCGAGCGGAAAGGCCCUUUCGGGGUACUCGAGCGGCGAACGGGUGAGUAACACGUGAGCAACCUGCCCUUAGCUCUGGGAUAGCUCCGGGAAACCGGAAUUAAUACAGGAUAUGACCUUGGCCGGCAUCGGCUGGGGUGGAAAGUUUUUUCGGCUGGGGAUGGACUCGCGGCCUAUCAGCUUGUUGGUGGGGUAGUGGCCCACCAAGGCGACGACGGGUAGCCGGCCUGAGAGGGCGACCGGCCACACUGGGACUGAGACACGGCCCAGACUCCUACGGGAGGCAGCAGUGGGGAAUCUUGCGCAAUGGGCGGAAGCCUGACGCAGCGACGCCGCGUGGGGGAUGAAGGCCUUCGGGUUGUAAACCCCUUUCAGCAGGGACGAAUUCAGACGGUACCUGCAGAAGAAGCGCCGGCUAACUACGUGCCAGCAGCCGCGGUAACACGUAGGGCGCAAGCGUUGUCCGGAAUUAUUGGGCGUAAAGAGCUCGUAGGCGGACUGUUGCGUCUGCUGUGAAAAGCUGGGGCUUAACCCUGGCCUUGCAGUGGAUACGGGCAGACUAGAGGUAGGUAGGGGAGAAUGGAAUUCCCGGUGUAGCGGUGAAAUGCGCAGAUAUCGGGAGGAACACCGGUGGCGAAGGCGGUUCUCUGGGCCUUACCUGACGCUGAGGAGCGAAAGCGUGGGGAGCGAACAGGAUUAGAUACCCUGGUAGUC
rnacentral:rRNA from 1 species